UGUUCAAGUUUGUGCCACUAGACUUACCCCAUGUGUUACUGGUCACAGCUGAGCUAGGUGACAAUGUAUGAGUCUCUAGAGCUGCCCCCAGGUUAUAUGUGUCAGUGUUCAAGUUUGUGCCACUAGACUUACCCCAUGUGUUACUGGUCACAGCUGAGCUAGGUGACAAUGUAUGAGUCUCUAGAGCUGCCCCCAGGUUAUAUGUGUCAGUGUUCAAGUUUGUGCCACUAGACUUACCCCAUGUGUUACUGGUCACAGCUGAGCUAGGUGACAAUGUAUGAGUCUCUAGAGCUGCCCCCAGGUUAUAUGUGUCAGUGGUCAAGUUUGUGCCACUAGACUUACCCCAUGUGUUACUGGUCACAGCUGAGCUAGGUGACAAUGUAUGAGUCUCUAGAGCUGCCCCCAGGUUAUAUGUGUCAGUGGUCAAGUUUGUGCCACUAGACUUACCCCAUGUGUUACUGGUCACAGCUGAGCUAGGUGACAAUGUAUGAGUCUCUAGAGCUGCCCCCAGGUUAUAUGUGUCAGUGGUCAAGUUUGUGCCACUAGACUUACCCCAUGUGUUACUGGUCACAGCUGAGCUAGGUGACAAUGUAUGAGUCUCUAGAGCUGCCCCCAGGUUAUAUGUGUCAGUGGUCAAGUUUGUGCCACUAGACUUACCCCAUGUGUUACUGGUCACAGCUGAGCUAGGUGACAAUGUAUGAGUCUCUAGAGCUGCCCCCAGGUUAUAUGUGUCAGUGGUCAAGUUUGUGCCACUAGACUUACCCCAUGUGUUACUGGUCACAGCUGAGCUAGGUGACAAUGUAUGAGUCUCUAGAGCUGCCCCCAGGUUAUAUGUGUCAGUGGUCAAGUUUGUGCCACUAGACUUACCCCAUGUGUUACUGGUCACAGCUGAGCUAGGUGACAAUGUAUGAGUCUCUAGAGCUGCCCCCAGGUUAUAUGUGUCAGUGUUCAAGUUUGUGCCACUAGACUUACCCCAUGUGUUACUGGUCACAGCUGAGCUAGGUGACAAUGUAUGAGUCUCUAGAGCUGCCCCCAGGUUAUAUGUGUCAGUGUUCAAGUUUGUGCCACUAGACUUACCCCAUGUGUUACUGGUCACAGCUGAGCUAGGUGACAAUGUAUGAGUCUCUAGAGCUGCCCCCAGGUUAUAUGUGUCAGUGGUCAAGUUUGUGCCACUAGACUUACCCCAUGUGUUACUGGUCACAGCUGAGCUAGGUGACAAUGUAUGAGUCUCUAGAGCUGCCCCCAGGUUAUAUGUGUCAGUGGUCAAGUUUGUGCCACUAGACUUACCCCAUGUGUUACUGGUCACAGCUGAGCUAGGUGACAAUGUAUGAGUCUCUAGAGCUGCCCCCAGGUUAUAUGUGUCAGUGGUCAAGUUUGUGCCACUAGACUUACCCCAUGUGUUACUGGUCACAGCUGAGCUAGGUGACAAUGUAUGAGUCUCUAGAGCUGCCCCCAGGUUAUAUGUGUCAGUGGUCAAGUUUGUGCCACUAGACUUACCCCAUGUGUUACUGGUCACAGCUGAGCUAGGUGACAAUGUAUGAGUCUCUAGAGCUGCCCCCAGGUUAUAUGUGUCAGUGGUCAAGUUUGUGCCACUAGACUUACCCCAUGUGUUACUGGUCACAGCUGAGCUAGGUGACAAUGUAUGAGUCUCUAGAGCUGCCCCCAGGUUAUAUGUGUCAGUGUUCAAGUUUGUGCCACUAGACUUACCCCAUGUGUUACUGGUCACAGCUGAGCUAGGUGACAAUGUAUGAGUCUCUAGAGCUGCCCCCAGGUUAUAUGUGUCAGUGUUCAAGUUUGUGCCACUAGACUUACCCCAUGUGUUACUGGUCACAGCUGAGCUAGGUGACAAUGUAUGAGUCUCUAGAGCUGCCCCCAGGUUAUAUGUGUCAGUGGUCAAGUUUGUGCCACUAGACUUACCCCAUGUGUUACUGGUCACAGCUGAGCUAGGUGACAAUGUAUGAGUCUCUAGAGCUGCCCCCAGGUUAUAUGUGUCAGUGGUCAAGUUUGUGCCACUAGACUUACCCCAUGUGUUACUGGUCACAGCUGAGCUAGGUGACAAUGUAUGAGUCUCUAGAGCUGCCCCCAGGUUAUAUGUGUCAGUGGUCAAGUUUGUGCCACUAGACUUACCCCAUGUGUUACUGGUCACAGCUGAGCUAGGUGACAAUGUAUGAGUCUCUAGAGCUGCCCCCAGGUUAUAUGUGUCAGUGGUCAAGUUUGUGCCACUAGACUUACCCCAUGUGUUACUGGUCACAGCUGAGCUAGGUGACAAUGUAUGAGUCUCUAGAGCUGCCCCCAGGUUAUAUGUGUCAGUGUUCAAGUUUGUGCCACUAGACUUACCCCAUGUGUUACUGGUCACAGCUGAGCUAGGUGACAAUGUAUGAGUCUCUAGAGCUGCCCCCAGGUUAUAUGUGUCAGUGUUCAAGUUUGUGCCACUAGACUUACCCCAUGUGUUACUGGUCACAGCUGAGCUAGGUGACAAUGUAUGAGUCUCUAGAGCUGCCCCCAGGUUAUAUGUGUCAGUGUUCAAGUUUGUGCCACUAGACUUACCCCAUGUGUUACUGGUCACAGCUGAGCUAGGUGACAAUGUAUGAGUCUCUAGAGCUGCCCCCAGGUUAUAUGUGUCAGUGUUCAAGUUUGUGCCACUAGACUUACCCCAUGUGUUACUGGUCACAGCUGAGCUAGGUGACAAUGUAUGAGUCUCUAGAGCUGCCCCCAGGUUAUAUGUGUCAGUGUUCAAGUUUGUGCCACUAGACUUACCCCAUGUGUUACUGGUCACAGCUGAGCUAGGUGACAAUGUAUGAGUCUCUAGAGCUGCCCCCAGGUUAUAUGUGUCAGUGUUCAAGUUUGUGCCACUAGACUUACCCCAUGUGUUACUGGUCACAGCUGAGCUAGGUGACAAUGUAUGAGUCUCUAGAGCUGCCCCCAGGUUAUAUGUGUCAGUGUUCAAGUUUGUGCCACUAGACUUACCCCAUGUGUUACUGGUCACAGCUGAGCUAGGUGACAAUGUAUGAGUCUCUAGAGCUGCCCCCAGGUUAUAUGUGUCAGUGUUCAAGUUU